UCUGGCAAUUGGGAAAGAGAAUUUGGUUUGAAAAAUUAACCUAAAAACACGUGCCAACCAGAGACAUGGUUCAGGCGAGCCUUUCACUCAUCACCACCGUGGACCACUGCACCGGAAAUCACUUCCGGCGUCGGUGGCCACCAAAACAGGAAUCCGAUACAUCGACUAAUUCGUCUUCACCUCCUCUGUCCGAAUCUCAGCUCAAUUCCUCAAGAUCCCAAGCCUAGGUCUCUAACCGGAUUGAAAGCUAUCAAGAGCCCUAGGUGUUCCUAAUAAAAUUGAAUAACAAUCACGCCAUGAUUCACUCUCAGACCUUAGGGUUAUUGGUACCGAUCCUAUAAUCAACCUACAGGUAAUUAGAAACGGAAAAAUCAAGAUGAAAUUUAGGAUGCUUACCGGAGUAGUUCGUAGGCGGCGAUGACAAUGGAGUCUCAGGUAGGUCUCGUACUCCCUCCUCUUUCCUUUGAACCUCUUGCUUCCUCCACUUUCUUCUUCUUCCCCUCUGAUUUGUGGUCCUAGUUGUUCUGAAUCUGAGAGUGAAUCGUUGAGAGAUUGAGAGGUUGAAUCCAGAGUGAUGGAGAUUGUUGCAUAGGACGAUCAGUGAAUAGAGAAUAAUGAGGAUGAAGGUUCGGGCAAAUGAAUCUUGUAGCUCCAUGAUGAUGAUGAACGAUUGGGGAUUGAAUGUUUAAGGGUGAAAAAUUGAUUGGAGGUGAUGGAGCAACCUUCAAUCAAUUGAGUGUGAGUGAGGAUAAUUGGAACUGAAGAGUGAUUCCAAUCAAAGUGGAGAGCGAUGAAUGUGUAACUGAUUGGGAUUUGAGAGUGGAAGAAAAAUGAUUCACCUCUGGAUGAAUCAUGAGGAGUGAAUUUAUAGGUGAUUUAGCAUUGGGAUUGUGGAAUUUCAGUUAGGAUUUUCUGUUAUGACAGCUAGUGAACUGAAUUAGUUAUGACCUUCUAUUUUGUGAUCCCAACGCAAUUCCAGUUGGCCAUGGUAGUUAAUGUAGUUAAGUUGGUUAUGAUUUUUGCCCAUCCCUAGGCUCAGUCCAGCUGGCAAGUUGUGAAGUGUUGAUUCAAUUACAUUUUAGUUAAGGCAUUGAGUUAUUUUUGAUUGAUUUUUGAAUAUGAGUUAUAGCUUGUGACAGGUUCAGUUCUGGUUUGUGAAUGCUAGCUUAUGGUCAUGUUUGGAAUGCUUAUAUUAUGAAUACCAUUGCUUGAUAUGCCCACUGGUUUUCAUAUAGGUUGCUUUGGUAGGAUAUGGAUGCAAGGCUCUGGUUUAUUUGGCUAGUUGUCUUGAUCAGUUGCACUACUAUUUGAUGGUGUUGAUGCUAUUGAUUUUUCUCUGUACCAUUUCCAGUUCUGCAGGCAUGUUUGAAGUUUGUUUUGCUGAUCCUUAUAAGGCAUGUGGUUUUGCAGGAAUUUUGGUCGUGGUUUAUGAGUUGAUGUGGCAGGUAUGCAUUGGAUGGCAGGAUUGCAUAUGUUGCAGGUGGAUUUUGCUAGGUAGGCUACUUAUUGAUUGAUCAUGGCUUCACUGAAUGACAGGUCUGAGUAUAUAUAGCUCUAUGGUGCCUAGUGAUGAGAAGUCUGCUGCGGAAUUGUUGCCAAGGUCAUGUAUGACCUGUUACAGGUUCCUCAUAUGUUUCAUAUGCUUGGAGUUAUUGGCUUGUUCAUGAAUAAGCAAUUAUAGGGCGUGUGUUGUUGCCUGAUGAUGGUAGAGUUUCAUUGCAUUUUUUUGGUUCAAUUUGAGUUUUGGCUUGUCAUGAUAAUUAAGAUGAUGCCUUGCUUUAAUAUGGUGAUGAUGACAACAUGCCAAACUUGCAGCAGACCACAAGUCCCUUCAAGCCACAAAUCUGAUGGGAGGUACAAUGUAAAGUAACCUCAAUGGUGAGCAGUUAUGCAAAGCCCUUCGUGGUCUCCUUCUAAAUCCAAAGUACUUGAACAAGGAUGCUGAUGAAUUGCAGCCAGGCCUCGAGCUAGGGUAUGGUGAUUUUAAGUUUCCACCAUGUGUAUUUGAUGGUCUGGACCUGUUAGUGUAUAGCUGCUGGCAAGAUUAACUUUUGAAUAAAUGCAAGUUAUGAAUGCUAGGUUCUGGUAUAGCUUGGUGUGUUUAGGGGCAUCUAUGUUAUGGUUUGAACUGAUAUGUCUCUAGCUAUAUCAUGCACUACAGGGUUGUAGGUCCAAUGGUGUGCUGCAGUGGAACUAUUGUCACAUGGCUUGGUCUGCUGCCAUUGCUUUAUGUAAUGUUGGUUUGCUGUAGGUGUUAUGCAGAUUUGAUAAGGUUUGUGCAGCAGAUUUUGCCCUGGACUGCUGAAGGAUUAUGGUUGUUGGCUUCUUGACUUGUUUUGCAUUGCAGGUCUUGUUUUGUGUACUGCAAGGUUAGCACUCUUGGCCAAUAUUCAUGAUCUUGUUGCAGUUCUGUAGUGCUGUUAUGGUGGUCAUUGCAAGUCUACCACAUGAUGCACUUGGUGGUGUGACAGAUGCUGCUUCGGACUGUAUGCAAUGUCAUAGGUCUGUCCAAGUCCUGAUGGUUGCAGGGCCAGUGUUUUGCAGGUUCUAACUUGGAAACUCAUGUAGCAAGUGAAUAUGGUACACAUUCUGCAGGUGCAGUGUUGGUGGAUACUGCUACAUCAGGCAUUGCAGGUUAACUGCAUGCUGAAUUAUAUUGUGGCAGACCUUGAUAUGGUUCAUAUGCUGCAUCAACUCAUGCAGGUCAUGGCUUCAUGUAGUGGACAAUGUUUCAUGACAACAAAAAUGGAUCAUGAAUCAUCAUGCUUAAUUGACCAAUCCAAGAUCAAAAAUGGGAUAUGGGAGAUCAAGGUCAAGAUUAGGAUAAGGAUUUUGGAUUUUAGGGUUUCUUAGGAUUUUGUUGACUUUGGUCAAAGUUGACCAAAAAGUCAAUUGUUGACCAAAGUCAACAUUUGGUCAAAGUUGCCAUUUCUUGUAAUUUUCCAUACUUUCGACAUUUUCAUGAUUGUAAUGAAUGUAAUUUACAUUUAAUGGAUGAAAUAGGUUGGUUCUUGA